CUACGGGAGGCUCCAGUGGGGAAUAUUGCACAAUGGGCGCAAGCCUGAUGCAGCCAUGCCGCGUGUAUGAAGAAGGCCUUCGGGUUGUAAAGUACUUUCAGCGGGGAGGAAGGGAGUAAAGUUAAUACCUUUGCUCAUUGACGUUACCCGCAGAAGAAGCACCGGCUAACUCCGUGCCAGCAGCCGCGGUAAUACGGAGGGUGCAAGCGUUAAUCGGAAUUACUGGGCGUAAAGCGCACGCAGGCGGUUUGUUAAGUCAGAUGUGAAAUCCCCGGGCUCAACCUGGGAACGGCAUCUGAUACUGGCAAGCUUGAGUGUCGUAGAGGGGGGUAGAAUUCCAGGUGUAGCGGUGAAAUGCGUAGAGAUCUGGAGGAAUACCGGUGGCGAAGGCGGCCCCCUGGACGAAGACUGACGCUCAGGUGCGAAAGCGUGGGGAGCAAACAGGAUUAGAUACCCUAGUAGUC
rnacentral:rRNA from 1 species